rnacentral:rRNA from 1 species
UACGUAGGGGGCGAGCGUUGUCCGGAAUCAUUGGGCGUAAAGCGCGUGUAGGCGGUCCGAUAAGUUCGCUGUGAAAGUCGGGGGCUUAACCCUCGGAUGCCGGUGAAUACUGUCGGGCUUGAGUACGGAAGAGGCGAGUGGAAUUCCAGGUGUAGCGGUGAAAUGCGUAGAUAUCUGGAGGAACACCGGUGGCGAAGGCGACAUCCUGGACCGGUAUUGACGCUGAGGCGCGAAAGCCAGGGGAGCAAACGGG